rnacentral:rRNA from 1 species
CACGUAGGGUGCGAGCGUUGUCCGGAAUUAUUGGGCGUAAAGAGCUCGUAGGCGGUGUGUCGCGUCGGCCGUGAAAACCUGCAGCUUAACUGUGGGCUUGCGGUCGAUACGGGCAGACUUGAGUACUGCAGGGGAGACUGGAAUUCCUGGUGUAGCGGUGGAAUGCGCAGAUAUCAGGAGGAACACCGGUGGCGAAGGCGGGUCUCUGGGCAGUAACUGACGCUGAGGAGCGAAAGCUAGGGGAGUGAACGGG